AAGUUGUGUAAAAAUGGUGGAAUAACGACUGUUGACUUGAAAGACGGACCUGGCUCUGAUCCUUAUAGAUGUCAAUGUUCUUUUGGCUUUACGGGGGAAAAUUGUAUGCAAAAACUAUAUUUUUCAUCAUGCAAAGAAGCAGUAAAAGAUGGCAGGUAUAGUAUGCCUAAAACGUAGCUAAUUUUUAUAAAGUAUAAAGGUGGAAUAAGUAGUCCUUAUUUGGUUAAAAACGUUACGUCUACCAAACAUAGAAUAGUUAAAAAGUAAGUUACAGCAG